GAUGAACGCUGGCGGCGUGCCUAAUACAUGCAAGUCGAGCGAACGGACGAGAAGCUUGCUUCUCUGAUGUUAGCGGCGGACGGGAGAGUAACACGUGGAUAACCUACCUAUAAGACUGGGAUAACUUCGGGAAACCGGAGCUAAUACCGGAUGAUAUUUUGAACCGCAUGGUUCAAAAGUGAAAGACGGUCUUGCUGUCACUUAUAGAUGGAUCCGCGCUGCAUUAGCUAGUUGGUAAGGUAACGGCUUACCAAGGCAACGAUGCAUAGCCGACCUGAGAGGGUGAUCGGCCACACGGGAACGGAGACACGGUCCAGACGCCUACGGGAGGCAGCAGUAGGGAAUCGUCCGCAAUGGGCGAGAGCCUGACGGAGCAACGCCGCGUGAGUUAUGAAGGUCUUCGGAGCGUAAAACUCGGUUAUUAGGGAAGAACAGAUGUGGAAGUAACUGUGCACAGCUUGACGGUACCUAAUCAGAAAGCCACGGCUAACUACGUG
rnacentral:rRNA from 1 species